rnacentral:ncRNA from 1 species
UUGUUUCAGUACGACACAACUGCGAAGCAUGCCUAUCGAUCUUUAGUCUGUGAGUAUACAGCUAGAGGUGUCAGAAAAGUUACCACAGGGAUAACUGCUUGUGGCAGCCAGCGUUCAUAGCGACGUUGCUUUUGAUCUUCGAUGUCGGCUCUCCUAUCAUGAGACGCAGAAGUCUCAAAGUGUCGGAUUGUUCACCCGCCAAUAGGGAACGUGAGCUGGGUUUAGACCGUCGUGAGACAGGUUAGUUUUACCCUACUGACAAAGUAGAUACUGCGACAGUAGUCGAAGUUAGUACGAGAGGAACACUUCGUCCAGAUACUUGGUUAAUGCCGUUGUCUGAAAAGACAGUACGGCGAAGCUACCAUCUGCUGGAUUACGGCUGAACGCCUCUAAGCCGGAAUCCAUGCUGGAUAAGCAGUGUUGUACACCGUGCUCAAUGCUACAAGAAAAAGGCUAGGUCAGGCUUCGGCCUGACCAAAAUUCAAGCUGCUAUACCUCUGGCUGCAUUGACUUGUGGUCAGAGUGUAUGGUGAUCAUAGCAAUUGCAAGUAUUGGGCUCGAUAAAUCCUUUGAAGACGACUUAAUUGCAUCCGGGUAUUGUAAGUGUUGAGAGUAGGCUUAGUCUUACGAUCCACUGAGAUUCAUCCCGUGUUGCGCCGAUUUGU